rnacentral:rRNA from 1 species
AGCGAACGCUGGCGGCGUGCUUAACACAUGCAAGUCGAACGGUGAACGAGGGAGCUUGCUCCCUCCGGAUCAGUGGCGAACGGGUGAGUAACACGUGAGCAAUCUGCCCUGGACUCUGGGAUAAGCGUUGGAAACGACGUCUAAUACCGGAUACGAGGCGUGGGGGCAUCCCCAACGCCUGGAAAGAACUUCGGUCCAGGAUGAGCUCGCGGCCUAUCAGGUAGUUGGUGAGGUAACGGCUCACCAAGCCGACGACGGGUAGCCGGCCUGAGAGGGUGACCGGCCACACUGGGACUGAGACACGGCCCAGACUCCUACGGGAGGCAGCAGUGGGGAAUAUUGCACAAUGGGCGCAAGCCUGAUGCAGCAACGCCGCGUGAGGGACGACGGCCUUCGGGUUGUAAACCUCUUUUAGCAGGGAAGAAGCGAAAGUGACGGUACCUGCAGAAAAAGCACCGGCUAACUACGUGCCAGCCGCCGCAGUAAAAC